rnacentral:tRNA from 1 species
UCCCUGGUGGUCCAAUGGCUAAGACUUUGAGCUCCCAAUGCAGGAGGCCCAGGUUCAAUCCUUGGUCUGGGAA